UCCACACCACUCCAGUCCAUCAGUUAAUGUCUUGAGAAGUGAAAAGCUGCAUGCUUGUACGAAACAAAUACAUCAAGAUAUUUUUUAACUAAAAAUGAGUCCUCUAUCCAUAACACUGCUUUCUCCAGUGAAAAAGUCAUCUUAUCUGAAUCAGGAGAGAAAUAUGCACAGAACCAAGAACCAUUUACAAGCCAAAACAAUUUGUAUCUGUUAUGUUGGACGAUUUGAUGUGAGAGGACAAGAGGGGAUGGAUUUUUUCACUGGAGGAAGUGUUAUUAUGGAUUAUGGAUUUAUGGACUAUUUUGGCCAGAAGCAACGAUUACAUCUUAAUGAUGGUAUUGUUUUCAUACAAACACACAGCUUUUCACUUAACAAGACAUUAACUGAUGGACUGGAGUGGUGUGGAUUACUUGUGAUGUUUUUAUCAGCUGUUUGGACUCUCAUUCUGACGGCACCCAUUCACUGCAGAGGAUCUAUUGGUGAACAAGUGCAGUAUUUCUCCAAAUCUGUCCCAGCAAAGAAACAAACUCAUUUACAUCUUGGAUGCCCUGAGGCAGCUGAUUUGAUCAGAUUGUCCUUCAUUCACAGUGAUACUAGAUGGGCUCUGAAUCACAGUCAGCUCCUCGUAUGAACCUUGGCAGCUUUAUUUUUUCAGAAGAUGUUUAGGGUGAAUGUGGCUCUUACCUCUGAAGCAAAUGCAGGACAAAAUGAGGCCACAGAUCAGAGGGCAGGAGAACUUCAUUUCGAAGCGUUUAAUCACAAAUCCAAACUAAGGUAACAUAAGCGCUGUCACACUCGCUCACAUUAAAACACACCAUCGGUCAUGACUUCCUCGAGUGUCAGUGUGCCCAAAGGUUCAUCUCAUGCGAUCUCCCCCCUCUCUUUCACUUCUGUCUUCUUGUCAGUGUGAAGUUUUAACCAACAACACCUUUCAUAGUUCUCAGUAUUCUCAAAACAGAUCUAACUUCACCUUAUACUUACAAUGAAUUUCUGUGUAACUCGAUACAUGACUGGUUUGGUUUGAUUUUAACUUUUAUUUUUCUAAAAUAAAAGUUCAAGAUUUAACAAAAUCAUAAACUAUAUUUUAUAACUGUUAUAUUUUAGAAUUAUCGUCUCAUUCUGAUGUUGACGGAAUUUAUUUUGCAGUACUUUAGAAUGCAAUUCAACGCAAUGCAAAAUCAGCAUGACACAAUAAAUGGAUGCAAAGGUAGUUUGCAAAUGCAAUAAUGACAUUUUAGUGUCCACUGUAAAGUUCAGCAUAUCAAUUUAUCUAACUGACAUUCUUAACGCUGACCUUCAGAAUGGCUCUUAAACCUCUAAAUGCAUGCUGGGCACUUCAUUAAAGACAUUAUGCUCUCCUGCCCGCAGUCUUUGCGUGUUAAUGAGGUCUUUGGGCCCUUCAGCACCGCUGUUUGCUCUGAUGCAUCUGUGAUGCACAAUGAUUGUUUUCCGCUGCUGGUUUGACCACUGCUGUAUUGUUUAAAUAGAACAGCAGAUACAAUGAUAACCUAAAUGCAAGCUAGUCAAUAUCCACUGAGAUAGAGAUACAGUGAACAAUUAUAGCUACAAGAAAUUCAGCAUAUUCAAGACAUGACUGUAUUACAACUUUACACAUUUGUGCAUGUAUAGAAAUUAAUUCCAAUACAUUUUCCUCAAACUGACACUUAUUCCACAAGACCUUUCAGAUCAGAGCUCAUUAUGAGCUCUAAAUUAUUUGAAAGAUUAUACAUCAUCUUCAUCCGUUUCACACCACAGGGAAUCUUCUCACAAGGUACUUUGCCAGGAAGUGGUCAAGACAACAUCUUGAUAAACAGGAAGUCCUUCAAAGACUGGGCUUCCUGCAAGAAGAUGGCAACAGCAUCCUGACAUGAAAUCAUCAAUGCAGCACCACACAGCGGUUUACCUUUAGAUUUCUGACAGAAACGAGAGCAGGAGAAGACGAUGAUCUCAUCUUCAAGUCAAGAGCCUUCAUAUAGCCGUAUGCACCUGCUCUUACACUGUCUCCUAGCAACCAGAGCGCCAGAGACAGAGAUUGAUUCUUCAGCCGCUUUAUGAGUAUUGUGUGUCUGAUCAUGGCGGUUAAAUGUUGGCUAAUUGAAUUGUGUUUUUUUUUUUUUUUUGCUGAGCACUUUCAAGGCUGACGCCAGGUUUGAGCUCACAUCUCACAGCUCGAGUGCUCCCAAAAUCAUCCUCACAGGCAUUGUAGCCAAGACUGUUUAAUUCAAUUCACUUCCAUUCUGAGAUUCUAGUAACAGAGAUUAACAUAAUAUUUAUAAACAUACAAUGACCAAGCUAAAUGUAAUUAUAAAGCACAUAUGAAUGAAGCAAAACAUAGACAUUCAUGUUCUUGAAUAUGAAAUCAAACUAGACCCUACUGACUUGGUAUUAUUGUAUACAAUUCAUUAUUUUUUCAUUGUAAAGAAAAAAAAUGUUUGUUUUCAUAGUCUUUUCCCAAAAUUACACCAAGAAAUAAAUCUCAAUAUGUCUCCAUUAAUUUCUAGUCUUUAAAAUCAAUAUGAAAUCCAAA
ensembl:lncRNA